rnacentral:rRNA from 1 species
UACGUAGGGUGCGAGCGUUAAUCGGAAUUACUGGGCGUAAAGCGUGCGCAGGCGGUUCGUUAAGUCAGCUGUGAAAGCCCCGGGCUCAACCUGGGAAUUGCGGUUGAAACUGGCGAACUAGAAUCUGGCAGAGGGGGGUGGAAUUCCAGGUGUAGCGGUGAAAUGCGUAGAUAUCUGGAGGAACACCGGUGGCGAAGGCGGCAUCCUGGACCAUGACUGACGCUGAGGAGCGAAAGCCAGGGGAGCAAACGGG